rnacentral:rRNA from 1 species
UACGUAGGAUGCGAGCGUUAUCCGGAUUUAUUGGGCGUAAAGAGGGCGCAGGCGGCUUGGUAAGUCGGAUGUAAAAUCUCCUGGCUUAACUAGGAGGUACCACCCGAUACUGCCGAGCUCGAGUGCAUCAGGAGAAGAUGGAAUUCCCGGUGUAGUGGUGAAAUGCGUAGAUAUCGGGAGGAACACCAGUGGCGAAGGCGGUCUUCUAGGAUGCUACUGACGCUGAGGGCCGAAAGCGUGGGGAG